UACGUAGGGUCCGAGCGUUGUCCGGAAUUACUGGGCGUAAAGAGCUCGUAGGUGGUUUGUCGCGUUGUCCGUGAAAACUCACAGCUCAACUGUGGCGUGCGGGCGAUACGGGCAGACUGGAGUACUGCAGGGGAGACUGGAAUUCCUGGUGUAGCGGUGGAAUGCGCAGAUAUCAGGAGGAACACCGGUGGCGAAGGCGGGUCUCUGGGCA
rnacentral:rRNA from 1 species